UAUCCCUUUUAGCCUUUCUGCCUUAUGGUUUCUGCCGUCCCCCCGUGAGCCUUCCAUCUCCAGCCCAUCUUCAGGCGAAUCUGUCCCUUGUGAGCCGUCCAUCUCCACUCUUCGCUUUCUCUUCUCCAGUCCAUCUUCGAAGGCUCUCUCUCAAACUCUCACACAUACGCACCACAGUGAUCGUCGAUUUCAAAGGCUCUCUCUCUCAGAUUUCCAUCUCAAUCGGAAAACAAGACUCUAGCCAUCAAGUUUUGACUCUUUCACAAGUUGAAGAUUUCAAUGGCAAGUGAAAGCGAUAAUCCAGCUCCAGCUUUUACUCCUAGUGAUGCUGCUACGCCAUCUAUAAGAGCACGUUUGGUUCGCAUAAUAGACAAGAAUGAAAUAGAUUAAUUAUUCUAUAAAAAUAAAAUAAAAUAUGAAUAAUUAUUAUGUAAUUUGAUAUAAUAAAUGGAAUAAGACAGAAAUUGCUAUUGUGACUUA